CUUGAUCGAGCCGAGCCACAGGGGGCGCUGCGGGUCGCGGUCCUGCCCGUACGUGGCGAUGAGCGCCUGCGCCUC
rnacentral:antisense_RNA from 1 species